AUGAUCUCCAUCAACGUGUCGCCAUCGAGGUUGUCAUGCUAUUUAUGCUAUUACUACUAAAGCUAUGACCUAGCAAUAUAGUAAACGCAUCUGCAAACACAAACGUUAGUUUAAAGACAACCCUAUGGCUCGUGCCGGUUGCCGUAGCAUCGACGUGCAAGUUGAUUUAACUAUUAGAACAUGAUCAUCUCAUACAUCCAAUAUAUCACAUCACGUCAUUAGCCAUAUCAUAUCACAAGCAUACCCUGCAAAAACAAGUUAGACGCCCUCUAAUUUGUUGUUGCAUGUUUUACGUGGCUGCUAUGGGUAUCUAGUAUGAUCGCAUCUUACUUAUCAAAAACCACAACGGAGAUGUGAAAAUUGCUAUUUAACCUCUCCAAGGACCGCCUCGGUCAAAAGCAAUUCAACUAAAGUUGAAGAAACAGGCACCCGCCAGUCAUCUUUAUGCAACGAGGUUGCAUGUCAAUUGAUGAAACCAGCCUCUCGUAAGCGUACGAGUUAUGUCAGUCCGGGCCGCUUCAAUCCAACAAUACCGCCGAAUCGAGAAAAGACUAAGGAGGGCAGCAAAUCGACCAUCACCAUCCACAAAACCUUUUGUGUUCUACUCGAGAUAACAUCUAUACAUGAACCUAGCUCUGAUACCACUGUUGGGGAACGUUGCAUGGGAAACAAAAAAUUUCCUACGCACACGAAUACCUAUCAUGGUGAUGUCCAUCUACGAGUGGAGAUUAGAUCUAUGUACCCUUGUAGACUACUCAGCGGGAAGCGUUAAGAAACGCGGUUGAUGUUGGAACAUCUUCACGUCCCUCGAACCGUCUCACAAACCGUCCCGCGAUCCGUCCCACAUCCGUUCCGAUCUAGCGCCGAACGAACGACACCUCCACGUUCAGCACACGUACAGCUCGACGAUGAUCUCGUCCUUCUUGAUCCAGCAAGCAAAAUCGAGAUCUAGAUGAGUUCUCCAGCAGCGUGACGGAGCUCCGGUGGUGGUGAUGAUCUACUCUUGUAGGGAUCCGCCCGAGCUUCGUAGAAAUCGAUCUAGAGGUAAAACUAUGUGGAAUAGGCUAGAGUUGCACGUGGCAAAGUUGUGUCUCAAAAAGCACUAAGCCACCACUAUAUAUAGGAGGAAGGGGAGGGGCUAGCCUUGAGGCACAAGGCUUCAAGGUGCGCCGGCCGCCAGGAGGAGGAGGACUCCUCCUCCAAUUCGGUUUGGGAAGGAGGAGUCCUCCUCUUCCUUCCCACCUCCCUCUUUCCUUUUUUCUUCUUCUUUUCUUUUGGUAUUUUCUUAUGUGGCACCAUAGCCCUCUUGGGCUGACUCCACCAGACCAAUAAGGACUUGGUGCACCACCCUAGGGCCUUGGUCUCACUCCCGGGUGGGUGGGCCCUUUCCGGUAAACACCCGGAACCCAUUCGUCACUCUCGGUACAUUACAGGAAUUGCCCAAUACUUUCCGGUGACCAAAUGAAACCAUCCUAUAUAUGAAUCUUCGUUUACGGGCCAUUCCGGUAACUCUCGUGACGUCCGUGAUCUCAUUCGGGACUCCUAACAACAUUCGGUAACCACACAUAUAACUCAACUAUACUAAAACAUCACCGAACCUUAAGUGUGCACACCCUGCGGGUUCGAGAACUAUGUAGACAUGACCCGAGGCACUCCUCGGUCAAUAUCCAAUAGAGGGACUUGGAUGCCCAUAUUGGAUCCUACAUAUUCUCCGAAGAUCUUAUCGGUUGAACCUCAGUGUCAAGGAUUCAUAUAAUCCUGUAUGUCAUUCCCUUUGUCCUUCGGUAUGUUACUUGCCCGAGAUUUGAUCGUCGGUAUCCGCAUACCUAUUUCAAUCUCGUUACCGGCAAGUCUAUUUACUCAUUCCGUAAUACAAGAUCCCGUGACUUACACUUAGUCACAUUGCUUGCAAGGCUUGUGUGUGAUGUUAUAUUACCGAGUGGGCCCCGAGAUACCUCUCCGUCACACGGAGUGACAAAUCCCAGUCUUGAUCCAUACUAACUCAAUGGACACCUUCGGAGAUACCUGUAGAGCACCUUUAUAGUCACCCAGUUACGUUGCGACGUUUGAUGCACACAAGGUAUUCCUUCGAUGCCAGUGAGUUAUAUAAUCUCAUGUUCAUAGGAAUAAAUACUUGACACGUAGAAAACAAUAGCAAUAAAAUGACACGAUCAAUAUGCUAUGUUGAUAGUUUGGGUCUAGUCCAUCACAUGAUUCUCCUGAUGAUGUGAUCCAGUUAUCAAGCAACAACACUUGCACAUAGUCAGAAAACCUUGACUAUCCUUGAUCAACUGGCUAGCUAACUAGAGGCUUGCUAGGGACAUCGUUUUGUCUAUGUACCCACACAUGUAUCUAUGAUUUCAUUCAAUACAAUUAUAGCAUGGAUAAUAAACGAUUAUCUUUGUAAUAGGAAAUAUAAUAAUAACUAUUUAUCAUUGCCUCUACGGCAUAUUUCCAACAGCGGCAACUUUGGCUGCGGGAGGAACCGGGGCGGUGGAGUGUUCGCGGGUGGCGGCGCUGUUGGCCGACAGCGGGCGCGCAACGGGGUGACCGGAGGGCGUAGUGCGGGGCGCCGGCGGGUCUCGGCCGGAGGGCGGCAACGCGACGCAGGUUUGACCAGAGCGGGGCUGGCGAAGGGGCUCUGGAUCGGGGCUCCUCCUCGAUGUGGAGCUCAGGCCCGAGGGGCGCGGAUGCGGCGGCGGCUUCGGGCCCGGGCGGGCUAGAGCGGUCCUGCGGCGCUGGUGGGAGGAGGAGAGGCUGCGCUAGGGUUUGAGGGGGCGCACGGAUCUUGAGGCAGGCCUGGGGCUGCCCGAUGUGGACGUGGGAAUGCCCAUUUAUAGAAGUUUUGUCUAGGGUUUGGGGUUUUCAUGGCCGAUUUUGACCGCGCGAUCGUGAUCAGACGUCCCCCGCCGCAGGGUGGGCUGGUUGGGCCGUGUAGAGUGGGUGUUGGGCUAAGACGAGAGGGAAAUGGUGCGACCCGGCGAUAGUGAUUUAAAACACCGAAAACGUCCGACGAUAACCCGCCGACGGUGCCGCUAUGGUCUACCGUUCGGCUAUCAAAGGGACUCCUAUUGCGGCGAAAAUUGGCACGCGACCUACCUACAUAAAAAUAAGACCGCACACCAAGUUUCAACCCAAUCCAAGAAUAUUUUAUACACACUUUUAAAAACAAAUAUUAGCGAUGCCGCGGGCGCAUGCGUGUGUGGUUGGUCUCAAAAUGGGCAACGACGAACACGGAGAGAACCGACAACUAAUAAUGGAUGCAGGUUUUGAAAACUGGCGGCAAUGGAGUGCCGAUGCAAUGCAGAUGAUGCGCAUGAUGCGAUGAUGAAUGCGACAGACAAACGAACCACACGACGGGAACGAAAUAAAAGGGGAACUUCUGGAGCGUCGGUCUCGGGAUGUCACACAUAUCACCGCAUGAAAUAUCCUCAAUUAUUUUAACAUAACAAUAACGUUUCCUUCAUCACAACAAACCAUACACAAAGGUAAUAUUCCAUGUUCAGAAUGCUUGCCUUGUUUGUGUAGAAAGGUAGGGUGCACUUCAAAACUUUUGAAAGUUUUCAAUCUUCCUCUUCAAAUUCCUAUUUUGAAAAUACUCAAAUCAACAUACCAUUCAAACAAAAGUAAAAAGUUAUUCGGAAAUUUUUCAAUUAAAUACUAAAAUAAACUAGAGAAAAAUUGAAAGAGGUGAGUAAAAGAAUCAACUCAUUUGGAGUUUUAUUUUAAAAGAUAUGACCAGUAAAAGAUUGGUCAAACUUCUGUUUUUAAAAUAAAUCAGAAAAGAAAGCGAUUCGGCUCACAUUAUGCUUUUACAGAAGGGAAUACAUACUUUGCACAAAUACACCUUCACUUAACGUGGCUCAAGCUCGGCUCUGUCGCUGACGAGUGGGGCCCUUCAUACAGGUUUGACUUUGGUCAAACCGGUCAUCUACCUCCUCCAAACAAGGGGAGGAGAGGCCUCCGGUGGCUCUUGACGGUGAUUGGGGGCACUACACCAAAAUCCGAGAGUAUCAACAUGCUCGGGGUCCCAAGGCAAUCCCAAAGGUGCGGGAUUUGGUCGGCGGAGAGCCUGGGAGCUCCAGCGGCUUCGAGGCGUGCGGACGGCGGCGCGGGUCCGCAAGGGAACUUUGCCCACGGCUCAUCUUGAGUGAAAUCGAGAGGGGGGAUGGGCUCGCGGUGCCAGUGUUAUUCCACCAAGGGGGAGAGCGAUGCAGGAUAAACUUCAUUGGCCUCGAAUUUAACUACAGGGGCGGCGGCCGAACCUCGGCCGGAGGUGAGGAAGACGACCUCCCCCGGUCGAUUGGUUGCAAUGGGAGCUUGAGAGGGGCCGGAGAGGUUCCUCUGAGGGUCUGGGAAAACCCGGGGGUCCCUUAUAUACGCAAUCAAGGUCGUUUCCGAGCGGCAACGGAUAACUCUGACGAACUAUUGCUAACAAGAGAUGUGGCGGCGACUAACGGGGACAGGCGCUAGCAGACGAGCUAGCGGAUGAGCUCGAGCUAUU
rnacentral:lncRNA from 1 species